CUUGUGGACUGUUAUAUCAAAUGGGAGUAGCCUUUUUUCUUCAAGAGAUGAGGGCAAAAUCAGACAGGUUGAAGCAAGAA
rnacentral:ncRNA from 1 species